GUUGUUUUUUCAGCAGACAUUUGGACAGAUUGUGAGGAUCAGUGUAUACCAGCAGAAGGCCAGAAAGGAGAACGAGGUUGCAGUUAGAAGACUGAGCAUGAACCAGAGUUUUCAGCAAGGGAUGGAGAGGACUAAAUACAGCAACAACCUUCCAUACUAAACCAACAGGACGGUGCAAAAUUGAAACCUUUGGAGCUAGGCUCAUGAAGAUAUAACAUGCACUCAUGUAACAAGAAUUCAAAACCUGGUAACUACUCUACCUCACUAUGCAUCUCCACGCAAGAAACAGGUUACCAUUAAGGAAUCCUAGUUUCAAAAUCAGUUUAAUGAUCUGGAAUGGGAAUUCCUUAACUAUGUAUGUGUUAUGUGCCAUCAACUGAAUUACGACUUAUAGAGACCCUAUGAAUCAGCGACCUCCAAUAGCAUCUGUUAUAAGCCACUCAGUUCAAAUGUUGUAAGUUCAGGUCCGUGGCUUCCUUUAUGGAAUCAAUCCAUCUCUUGUUUGGUCAACAGGGGCAACCAGGGCAACCAGAAUGAUCAAGGGGAUGGAGCGACUCCCUUACGAGGAAAGGUUGCAGCAUUUGGGGCUUUUUAGUUUAGAGAAAAGGCGGGUCAGAGGAGACAUGAUAGAAGUGUAUAAAAUUAUGUAUGGCAUUGAGAAAGUGGAUAGAGAAAAGUUCUUCUCCCUCUCUCAUAAUACUAGAACUCGUGGACAUUCAAAGAAGCUGAAUAUUGGAAGAUUCAGGACAGACAAAAGGAAGUACUUCUUUACUCAGCGCACAGUUAAACUAUGGAAUUUGCUCCCACAAGAUGCAGUAAUGGCCACCAGCUUGGACGGCUUUAAAAGAAGAUUAGACAAAUUCAUGGAGGACAGGGCUAUCAAUGGCUACUAGCCAUGAUGGCUGUGCUCUGCCACCCUAGUCAGAGGCAGCAUGCUUCUGAAAACCAGUUGGCGGAAGCCUCAGGAGGGGAGAGUGUUCUUGCACUCGGGUCCUGCUUGCGGGCUUCCCCCAGGCACCUGGUUGGCCACUGUGAGAACAGGAUGCUGGACUAGAUGGGCCACUGGCCUGAUCCAGCAGGCUCUUCUUAUGUUCUUAUGUUCUUAUGUCUACCUCUUUUUCUACUCCCUUCUGUUUUUUCCAGCAUUAUUGUCUUUUUUAGUGAAUCAGAUCUUCUCAUGAUGUGUCCAAAGUAUGAUAACCUCAGUUUCAUCAUUUUAGCUGAUAGUUCUGGUUUAAUUUGUUCUAGGGGAAAAAAAAGGAAAUGGACUGCCUUCAAGUCAAUCCCGACUUAUGGCAACCCUAUGAAUAGAGUUUUCAUGGUAAACGUUAUUCAGAGGUGGUUUACCAUUGCCUUCCUCUGAGGAUGAGAGGCAGUGACUGGCCCAAGGUCACCCAGUGAGCUUCAUGGGUGUGGGGGGAUUUGAACCCUGGUCUCCCAGGUCAUAGUCCAGCACCUUAACCACUAUACCACACUGGUUUGUUCUGACACCCAAAUUUGUCUUUUUUGCAGUCCAUGGUAUCUGCAAAGUUCUCCUCCAACACCACAUUUCAAAUGAGUUGAUUCUUCUCUUACCCACUUUUUUCACUGUCCAACUUUAACAUCCAUACAUAGAGAUCGGAAAUACCAUGGUCUGAAUGAUCCUGACUUUGGUGUUCAGUGAUACAUCUUUGCAUUUGAGGACCUUCUCUAGUUCUCUCAUAGCUGCCCUCCCCAGUCCUAGCCUUCUUCUGAUUUCUUGACUAUUGUCUCCAUUUUGGUUAAUGACUGCCAAGGUACUGAUAAUCCUUGACAGGUUCAAUGUAGGAAUAUAUAAUUCUGUCCAGACUCAAGCUAUAGGGAACAGAUACCAGUGCUUCACUGACCACUAGAGGACUCCCUUGCUGCUUAUUUUGUCUGGAAUUCAAAGCAUUUGCUAUAUUGGAGACAUGAAGUGGCUUGCCAAACUCAGACCUCAAAGGCUCUUACAUUUCUUUCUUCACAGUAUAGCACUGACAAUGGUUCCAGAAGUUUCAUAAUUUAAAGUAUGAAGGGUACAUAGUAGCCAUCAUUCUGGACUUCCUUCUCAGAAGUAGAAAAACUAAACAU